GACGAACGCUGGCGGCGUGCUUAACACAUGCAAGUCGAACGGAGAGGCCCUGCUUUUGUGGGGUGCUCGAGUGGCGAACGGGUGAGUAACACGUGAGUAACCUGCCCUUGACUUUGGGAUAACUUCAGGAAACUGGGGCUAAUACCGGAUAGGAGCUCCUGCUGCAUGGUGGGGGUUGGAAAGUUUCGGCGGUUGGGGAUGGACUCGCGGCUUAUCAGCUUGUUGAUGGGGUAGUGGCUUACCAAGGCUUUGACGGGUAGCCGGCCUGAGAGGGUGACCGGCCACAUUGGGACUGAGAUACGGCCCAGACUCCUACGGGAGGCAGCAGUGGGGAAUAUUGCACAAUGGGCGGAAGCCUGAUGCAGCAACGCCGCGUGCGGGAUGACGGCCUUCGGGUUGUAAACCGCUUUCGCCUGUGACGAAGCGUGAGUGACGGUAAUGGGUAAAGAAGCACCGGCUAACUACGUG
rnacentral:rRNA from 1 species